CCUCACUCUGGCGGCGUGCUUAACACCUGCAAGUCGCACGGAAAGGCCCUGCUUUUGUGGGGUGCUCGAGUGGCGAACGGGUGAGUAACACGUGAGUAACCUGCCCUUGACUUUGGGAUAACUUCAGGAAACUGGGGCUAAUACCGGAUAGGAGCUCCUGCUGCAUGGUGGGGGUUGGAAAGUUUCGGCGGUUGGGGAUGGACUCGCGGCUUAUCAGCUUGUUGGUGGGGUAGUGGCUUACCAAGGCUUUGACGGGUAGCCGGCCUGAGAGGGUGACCGGCCACAUUGGGACUGAGAUACGGCCCAGACUCCUACGGGAGGCAGCAGUGGGGAAUAUUGCACAAUGGGCGGAAGCCUGAUGCAGCAACGCCGCGUGCGGGAUGACGGCCUUCGGGUUGUAAACCGCUUUCGCCUGUGACGAAGCGUGAGUGACGGUAAUGGGUAAAGAAGCACCGGCUAACUACGUG
rnacentral:rRNA from 1 species